rnacentral:rRNA from 1 species
UACGUAGGGGGCAAGCGUUGGUCCGGAAUCAUUGGGCGUAAAGAAGCGUGUAGGCGGCCUUAUAAGUCGGCUGUGAAAGUCAAGGGCUCAACCCUUGAAUGCCGGCCGAUACUGUGAGGCUAGAGUCCGGAAGAGGCGAGUGGAAUUCCUGGUGUAGCGGUGAAAUGCGCAGAUAUCAGGAGGAACACCGAUGGCGAAGGCAGCUCGCUGGGACGGUACUGACGCUGAGACGCGAAAGCGUGGGGAGCGAACAGG